AUUUAUAUAGUUUAAUAAAACAUUACAUUUUCAUUGUAAAAUUAGAUUCAAUCUUAUAAAUA
rnacentral:tRNA from 1 species